UUACGGCCAUAUCACGGAGAAACACCGGUUCCCGUACGAUCACCGAAGUUAAACAACGUUGAACCUGGUCUGUACCUAGAUGGGUGACUGUAUCGGAACGCCAUGCGC